rnacentral:rRNA from 1 species
AGCGAACGCUGGCGGCAGGCCUAACACAUGCAAGUCGAGCGCCCAGCAAUGGGAGCGGCAGACGGGAUAGUAACACGUGGGAACGUACCCUUCAGUUCGGAACAACCCAGGGAAACUUGGGCUAAUACCGAAUACGUCCGUAAGGAGAAAGAUUUAUCGCUGAAGGAUCGGCCCGCGUCUGAUUAGCUAGUUGGUGAGGUAACGGCUCACCAAGGCGACGAUCAGUAGCUGGUCNGAGAGGAUGAUCAGCAUCACUGGGACUGAGACACGGCCCAGACUCCUACGGGAGGCAGCAGUGGGGAAUAUUGGACAAUGGGCGCAAGCCUGAUCCAGCCAUGCCGCGUGGAUGAUGAAGGCCCUAGGGUCGUAAGUCCUUUCGACGGGGAAGAUAAUGACGGUACCGUAGAAGAAGCCCCGGCUAACUUCGUGCCAGCCGCCGCCGUAAC